AUUGAACGCUGGCGGAAUGCUUUACACAUGCAAGUCGAACGGCAGCACGGACUUCGGUCUGAUGGCGAGUGGCGAACGGGUGAGUAAUGUAUCGGAACGUGCCCAGUCGUGGGGGAUAACGUAGCGAAAAUUACGCUAAUACCGCAUACGAUCUAUGGAUGAAAGCGGGGGAUCGCAAGACCUCGCGCGAUUGGAGCGGCCGAUAUCAGAUUAGGUAGUUGGUGGGGUAAAGGCCCACCAAGCCAACGAUCGGUAGCUGGUCUGAGAGGACGACCAGCCACACUGGAACUGAGACACGGUCCAGACUCCUACGGGAGGCAGCAGUGGGGAAUUUUGGACAAUGGGCGAAAGCCUGAUCCAGCCAUUCCGCGUGCAGGAUGAAGGCCCUCGGGUUGUAAACUGCUUUUGUACAGAACGAAAAGGUUUCUACUAAUACUAGGAGCUCAUGACGGUACUGUAAGAAUAAGCACCGGCUAACUACGUGCCAGCCGCCGCCGUAA
rnacentral:rRNA from 1 species